AUACGUAGGGGGCGAGCGUUGUCCGGAAUGAUUGGGCGUAAAGGGCGCGUAGGCGGCGCGGUAAGUCUGGAGUGAAAGUCCUGCUUUCAAGGUGGGAAUUGCUUUGGAUACUGCCGCGCUUGAGUGCAGGAGAGGUUAUCGGAAUUCCCGGUGUAGCGGUGAAAUGCGUAGAGAUCGGGAGGAACACCAGUGGCGAAGGCGGGUAACUGGACUGCAACUGACGCUGAGGCGCGAAAGUGUGGGGAGCAAACAGGAUUAGAUACCCUGGUAGUCCACACUGUAAACGAUGAAUGCUAGGUGUAGGAGGUAUCGACCCCUUCUGUGCCGCAGUAAACACAGUAAGCAUUCCGCCUGGGGAGUACGGUCGCAAGAUUAAAACUCAAAUGAAUUGGCGGGG
rnacentral:rRNA from 1 species